AUGCUAAUUAAUUCCUUCAUGUUCAUUCCAUUUUUCAAGACAAGCAUGUUUAGCACAGUAAAGGUCCACAAUGUCUCACUUCAAGCAUCAGAACGAGUUAUCAAGGAGUUCUUUAGCUUUUCUGGUGACAUCGUACAUGUCGAAAUGCAAAGUGGUGAUAAGCGUUCUCAGUUCGCCUACAUCACCUUCAGAGAUGAGCAAGAAGCGGAGAGGGCAAUGCUUUUGACAGGCGCGACUAUAGUGGAUAUGGCUAUCAUCAUCACCCCAGCCACAAAUUACCAGCUGCCAGCAGCCGUUUUAGCUGAUUUAGAGUCAAAAAGUCCUAGUAGCAUAGAAGCUGCCCUUCGAAAGGCGGAGGAUGUUGCUGGUUCCAUGUUGGCCAAAGGAUUUAUUCUUGGCAAGGACGCCGUUGAAAAGGCAAAGACUUUUGAUGAAACACAUCAGCUCACGUCGACUGCAAGUGCUAAAGUAUCUUCCAUUGAUAAGAGUCUGGGCCUCAGUGAGAAGAUCAGCACUAGCACCAUAGUGGUGAAUGAGAAAAUGAAGGAAAUGGAUGAGAAAUACCAGGUUGCAGAGAAGACCAAGUCUGCAUUGGUAGCUGCGGAGCAGACCGUUUCUACUGCUGGUUCCAAGAUCAUGAGACACAGAUAUAUCCUUACCGGCGCAGCAUGGGUAACUGGUGCCUACAGCAAAGUUGCGACGACUGCGACUGAGGCCUACAACAAGGAAAGGGCGAUGGCUGAGCAGGAAGAUGAACUCGCGAAGAGUUCUGAAGAGGCAGGACAAGAGAGCAAGUGUCAGGAAAGUGAUCCAGCUAAGGUGCCUGUUCCAGAAAAUACUGAAACGGGCCAAAUGGCUGAUCAGGAGGGCGAAUGUCCAAAGACCAACAAACCAGAAGAUACUGAAAUGGGUAAUGGUGAGCAGAAAGGUCAAGAUGCUGAAAUCGCAAAGGCCCAAACUCAAGAAAACACUGGAAUAACAGCCGAGGAGCAUAAGCAUCGGGAGGCUGAGUUACCGAAGGCCAGCACGCCUGAAAGUUUUCUGAUGACUGAGCAAACUGAGCAGGAACACAAGCAACCGGUCACUGAAGUUGCAAACAGCGAUAUUCCAAGCAGCCCUGUAACCAUCCCCGUCUGCAUGGCCACUGAUGAUGCAAAUUCUAGCAAUUCCCCAAAGAAGCCCGGACCUGCCUAG
rnacentral:rRNA from 1 species